CUUAUUCACAUAUCUUGAGGUCAGAGGUCAAGGGACACCUUUGAAAAUGGCCAUGUCAGCUUUUCCUCGUCAAAAUUUAGCACAAGUUUGAAGCGUUAUUUGGCAUUCUUCCUGACAAGCAAACAUGAAAUGGAUAUCAAAGGAUUCUUUAGGUUAUCUAGUUUCAUAUGAUACCAGUAUCUUCACUCUAGCUUUAAAACUGAGCCCGCUACAACCUAAAAAUGGCAAGUUGCGUUAAUGCGUUAUAAAAAAAUAUUGCAUAUAUACCACAAUAGUAAAAUAUGUGUUGUGCUUAUAGUUUGCAGAGUGUGUAACAUUUUUAAUGAGAUAACUGAGUAAAAUUAUUUAAUGCUUGGCUUGGCCUGUGCUAAAUUCAUCUGGGCUUUUUGCCCUCAGUCUGGUCUGCAGCAAGUGAAACACAUGCACAGCUGGACUGACAUGGCCGGUCCAGCACAUUCCAUCUGGGUUAUCCUAUCAGUGUGUUUGGGAUACUUGUCUUUCUGCAUUGUCCUGAAAUUGUGUGAUGAUGAAUAUUAAGUCCUACGAGUUGUACACAGUUGACUGAAUGUGGAUGCACUAUUUGUCCUCUGUAUACAGUACCAAGGAUUCUCUGUGCGGACCAGCGGACCUCUGUCUCCCUCCCCUGGCUGUCAGUGCUUCAUUCCAGACGUCUUGGAUCUGAUCCAAGAGACUCGGCCUCUCUUCUUAUCUCUGUUUGGAUUGUGUGCUUCAGCAUUGUGUGUUUGUGUAUCUGUCCUCUCUCCAGGUUUUUGUGGUGGAGAGGAGGUCGCGUGGCUAAAGACCUUCCUGUUUCGGCAGCACCUGGAAGUUACUAGAUGUCCUCCCUGAUCAUUUUUCUUUAUUUAUGAUGGCAGUCUAUCUACCUAAUGUUACCUCCAGCACCGUCCAGCUGUCACUCAACCCGCCUCCGACCAAUCAGAGCUGGCCCUGACUCCUCCCUCCCUCCUCCUCCUCCCUGGAGGUGGAGACGGAGAGGAGGAGAGAUCUCCUUCUCUUUCUGCUGCUCUCUCUGACUCCAUCUGUACCUCUCAGAGCUGCUCAAUCACCCCCACAGCUCUACUACCAUGGAGAGAGGGCUACUGCUGGCUGUGUGUCUGCUGCUCUGGAGCUGCAGCCUGUGUGUGGUUACAGCCAUCCAGAGGGCUGAUCUCUUCCCUUAUGGCACCCUGAGUGGAGAUCUGAUUCUGGCAGAGGGCGACGAUGAAACCUCCAGAGUGCUGUCCCUGCCAAGAGCCUUCUACUUCUACGACUCCUUCUUCUCCCAGCUAUAUGUGGCUACUAAUGGAAUCGUAUCAGCCCAGGACCUGCCGAUGGAGAAGCAAUACGUUGACGACGGAUUCCCCACAGAUUUCCCCGUGGUGGCUCCGUUUCUGGCCGACAUCGACACCAGCGGAGGGCGAGGACAGAUUUACUACCGGGUGACCGAAACGCCCAGUGUGCUCAACAGAGUGGCCCAGGAAGUCCAUCGAGGAUUCCCAGAUGCAAAAUUCACACCCACGCAUGUUGUGGUUGCAACAUGGGAGAACGUCGCGGCAUAUGAAGAACAAACUCGAACCACUGGACCUUCAAACAAGGUCAAUACGUUCCAGGCAGUGAUUGGUUACGAUGAGACCGAUUCAUACGUUCUCUUCCUCUACCCUGAAGGUGGCCUGAACUUCUUUGGGACACGCCCCAAGGAGUCUUAUAAUGUUGAGAUAGAGCUUCCUGCUAGAGUGGGCUUCAGCAGAGGAGAAAUCACAUAUCUGAUCUUCUCCCGAACUGAGGGACCUCACUACAGCGUUACCAGCGAUGAACAGAGUGUUAAAAACCUCUACCAGGUUGGCAAUACAGGGAUUCCAGGCGUUUGGCUUUUCCACACUGGGAACCGUUACUCCUUUGACAACAUUGUUCCCGCAUCCACUGGUGGCCUCCUUGUUACUCCACCAUCUGGAGAACACAGCCUCUCCCUGGACACCACCACCCCUGACUAUAGUGAGUUUGAGGAUUACCCAGACAACACUUUUGACCCUGAUAACCAGGACGAAGAAGAUGAUUACCCUCUGACCGGCGUGGACCCUGAAUUCCAGCCAGCCCCUGCUCCAGCAAGUCCUGAUGCUCCCUCGUCCCCUCCAGAGGAUGGUCACCAGGUGUCGUACGGCAGCGAUGAUGUGCCAUUGACCUCUGAACCCAGGUACAAUUCAGAGCCAGCAGAGAGGCAGUAUGCUCCCCCUAAUCAUCCAGAAAGAGUACCAGAGGGAGGUGACCGGCAGACUCAGGAACAGCAACCACAGGUUCCUCUGGAGGUGGUGGAUGUCUACCCCCCUCACAGGAAUGAGCAGCCUCUUUCCCCCGGAGGUCACGUGGUCAGCGUGGACGAAGACGAUAUUGAUUUUGACACAGGAGUGAUUCACUACACUACAGAGAAUAAGGAAACAUGUGCCAGAUUCCAACAGCAGUGCUCCCAGAAUAAUGCAUUCUGCUCUGACUACGCCACAGGCUACUGCUGCCACUGCCGGCCUGGCUUCUAUGGAAACGGACGCCAAUGUCUACCAGAGGGCGCCCCACAGCGCGUUAGCGGUAAGGUGACCGGAACGGUGACUGUGGGUUCGACUCCGGUGACGCUGAACAACAUUGACCUUCACGCCUACAUCGUGGUGGGAGACGGCAGAGCGUACACUGCCAUCAGCGAGGUACCAGAGCCAGUGGGCUGGGCUCUGAUGCCACUCGCACCAAUAGGAGAGCUGUUUGGAUGGCUGUUUGCUCUGGAGCUGCCCAAUAGCCAAGCAGGGUUCAAAAUCACAGGUGCUGAGUUCACUCGUCGUGCAGAGGUGAUCUUCUACCCCGGCAACCAGCGCCUGUCAAUCAUCCAGACGGGCCGCGGCCUAGACGAACACAACCACCUCACCGUGGAUACUGUAGUCAGCGGCAACGUGCCCUUCCUGCCCCCUGGAGCUGAAGUCACCAUGGAUCCCUUCAAGGAGACCUACCAGUACUACCCAUCUGUUGCCACCUCCACCUCCGUGAGGGAGUUUUCAGUGGUUUCGACCGAGCGCGGCUCAGAGUCUUUCUCCUUCCAGCUGAAGCAGAACAUCACCUACCACGACUGUCGGCACGACAACCGCGCCGCUCUCCCAGAGACGCUUCAGAUCACAAUGGAGAGGGUGUUUGUGAUGUACGUCAAGGAGGAGCGGAUCCUGAGAUAUGCCAUCACCAACAAGAUCAGCCCAGUCGGAGCCGAGCCAACAGAGCCGGAGCUGGUCAACCCCUGCUACGCCGGGAACCACGACUGUGACACCACGGCCCAGUGUAUCCCACUGGAGGGCCAGGCCUUCCAGUGCCAGUGUGCUACUGGUUACAGAGGGGAUGGACGCAACUGUUACGACGUAGACGAGUGUGCUGAGGAGUCGACUCCAUGCGGUGCUCAUGCUGAGUGUGUGAACCUGGCUGGUAGCCACCGUUGCCAGUGCCAGACUGGCUAUGAGUUUGGCUUCGAUGGCCGUACCUGUGUUGAUAUGGACGAAUGCAGCUCCUCUCCAUGCCACAUCAGUGCCAGAUGUAUCAAUGCACUGGGUUCCUUCCAUUGUCAGUGCCAGCCUGGCUUUUAUGGUGAUGGUUUCUACUGUUCCCAGCAGCAAGGACAGACAGUUCGCCCGAAGAGCCAGUGCGAGCAGCACAGAGACAGCCUGCAGAGUGGGGGUGAACAAGGCGGUCGACCCAGUAUCGGAGCCUUCGUCCCUCAGUGCAACCAUGACGGACGCUACCGACAACUGCAGUGUCACGGCUCCACUGGACAUUGUUGGUGCGUGGACGAUAGGGGGCAAGAGAUAGCGGGAACCAGGACUCCACCUGGUACAGUGCCUAGAGGCUGUGGCAGACCGGAGGAACCAGAGCGUCCUAAAUCUCGCUGUGAGCACCACAGAGACAGCGUACAGACCACCAGUCCAGAAGGGUAUCCUCUACUUGGAGCCUACGUACCUCAGUGUGACACUAAUGGAGAGUACAUACUUUUACAGUGUCAUGGCUCCACUGGACAUUGCUGGUGUGUGGACGGUGAAGGACAGGAGAGAGCCGGAACCAGGACACAAUCUGGUACAACACCCACAGACUGUGACAAACCAGAUGAACCAGAGCGUCCUAAAACUCACUGUGAGCACCACAGAGACGGCGUACAGACCACCAGUCCAGAGGGAUAUCCUAUACUUGGAGCCUACGUACCUCAGUGUGACGAUAACGGACAGUACGCAUCGCUACAAUGUCACGAUUCCACUGGACAUUGUUGGUGUGUGGACGUAAGGGGGCAGGAGAGAGCAGGAACCAGAACUUCACCUGGUACGGCACCCAGAGACUGUGACAGACCAGACGAACCAGAGCGUCCUAAAACUCACUGUGAGCACCACAGAGACGGCGUGCAGACCACCAGUCCAGAGGGUUAUCCUAUAGUUGGAGCCUACGUACCUCAGUGUGACACUAACGGACAGUACACACCACUGCAGUGUCACGGCUCUACUGGACAUUGUUGGUGUGUGGACAGUCGGGGACAGGAGAGAACAAGAACCAGGACAUCACCUGGUGCACCGCCAACAGACUGUGACAAACCAGAUGAACCAGAGCGUCCUAAAACUCACUGUGAGCACCACAGAGACGGCGUACAGACCACCAGUCCAGAGGGAUAUCCUCUACUUGGAGCCUACGUACCUCAGUGUGACGAUAACGGACAGUACAUAUCAUUGCAGUGUCACGGAUCCACUGGUCAUUGUUGGUGUGUGGACGGUAGGGGACAGGAGAAAGCAGGAACCAGGACUCCGCCUAGUACACCACCUACAGACUGUGACAAACCAGAGCGUCCUAAAACCUACUGUGAGCAGCACAGAGACAGUGUCCAGACCACCAGUCCAGAGGGAUAUCCUAUACCUGGAGUGUUCGUACCUCAGUGUGAUUCAAAUGGACAGUACACGUCUCAACAGUGUCACGGUUCCUCUGGACACUGUUGGUGUGUGGACAGUAGGGGACAGGAGAGAGCAGGAACCAGGACGUCACCUGGCACGUCACCUGUAGACUGUGACAAACCAGAUGAACCAGAGCGUCCUAAAACUCACUGUGAGCACCACAGAGACAGCGUACAGACCACCAGUCCAGAGGGAUAUCCUAUAGUUGGAGCCCAUGUACCUCAGUGUGAUGCAGUAGGACAGUACAUAUCCCUUCAGUGCCACGGCUCCACUGGACAUUGUUGGUGUGUGGACAGUAGGGGGCAGGAGAGAGCAGGAACCAGGACACUUCCUGGUACACAACCCAAAGACUGUGACAAACCAGAUGAACCAGAGCGUCCUAAAACUCACUGUGAACACCACAGAGAAAGAGCUCAGGCUACCAGUAAAGACGGAUAUCCUGUAGUUGGAGCUUAUGUGCCCCAAUGCGACGCUGAUGGACAGUACCUAACACUGCAGUGCCACGGUUCCUCUGGACAUUGUUGGUGUGUGGACAGUAGGGGGCAAGAGAGAACAGGAACCAGGACUCCACCUGGUACACAACCCAAAGACUGUGACAAACCAGAUGAACCAGAGCGUCCUAAAACUCACUGUGAACUCCACAAAGAAAGAGCUCAGGCUACCAGUCAAGACGGAUAUCCUAUAGUUGGAGCUUAUGUGCCCCAAUGCGACGCUGAAGGACAGUACCUACCACUGCAGUGCCACGGUUCCUCUGGACAUUGCUGGUGUGUGGACAGUAGGGGACAAGAGAGAACAGGAAGCAGGACUCCACCUGGUACACAACCCAAAGACUGUGACAAACCAGAUGAACCGGAGCGUCCUAAAACUCACUGUGAGCACCACAGAGCCAGUGUACAGACCACCAGUCCAGAGGGAUACCCUAUAGUUGGAGCCUAUGUACCUCAGUGUGAUGCAGUAGGACAGUACACAUCUCAACAGUGCCACGGUUCCACUGGACGUUGUUGGUGUGUGGACAGUAGAGGACAGGAGAGAGCAGGGACCAGGACUCCACCUGGUACACCACAUGUAGACUGUGACAGAACAGUCCCCGUGGCUCCAACCCAGCGUCCUGAGAGUGUGUGCGAGCGAUGGAGGGCCAGUCUGAUCGAGCACUACGGUGGGACACCAGAGCCACAACAAUACGUGCCUCAGUGUGAGGAAGAUGGACUAUUCAGUCCGGUCCAGUGUUAUGGAGAGACCACUUACUGCUGGUGUGUGGACCAGGACGGGCGGGAGGUUCCUGGUACCCGAUCGAAUGAUGUCGUCAAACCUGCAUGCCUUCCCUCAGUGGCCCCGCCCACCGUGCGCCCAUUGCCCCGCCCAGAUGUGACUCCUCCGCCAAACACUGACAUCACACUGCUGUACGCUCAGGGACAGAAGAUAGGAGCGCUGCCUCUCAACGGGACCAGACUAGAUGGAGCCCGGUCCAAAACACUACUGACUCUACAUGGUUCCAUAGUUGUCGGUAUAGCCCAUGACUGCAAAGAGAACCAAGUCUAUUGGACAGAUUUGUCUGCGAGAACAAUCAACAGAGCUUCGAUGGCGACUGGUGCCGAGCCAGAGAUCCUCAUUAACACAAAUCUGGUCAGUCCGGAGGGUUUGGCGGUGGACGUCAAGCGUAGGUUGAUGUUCUGGGUCGACUCGAACCCCGACUUGAUCGAAAGCGCCAACCUGGACGGCAGCGGGAGGCGGACGCUGUUUGACACAGACUUGGUCAACCCUCGAGCCAUCAUUGUGGUCUCCUCCACCGGUACUCUGUAUUGGACCGAUUGGAACCGAGAGGCUCCUAAGAUCGAGAGUGCAUCGGUGGACGGUCAGAACCGCAGGGUGGUAGUGUCUGACGGGAUCGGUCUGCCAAACGCUCUCACGUAUGACUCCUCUUCUGGACAAGUCUGCUGGGCCGAUGCAGGUACGAAGCGUUUGGAGUGCGUAUCCCCGGAUGGUUCAGGUCGAAGAGUGGUCCACCCCACCGUCAACUACCCGUUCAGCAUGGUCUACUACAGGAACCACUUCUACUACACUGACUGGAGGAGGGACGGAGUGAUCGCAGUGAGCAAAGACAGUAGUCAGAUCACUGAUGAGUACUUGCCUGACCAGCGCUCUCACCUGUACGGCAUCGCCAUAGCAACCACCAGCUGUCUAUCAGGCCACUGCAGCACUUAAGCUCUCAUCCUGUUGGAUUCACACAGGAAGAGAAAAUCAGAGCUCUUCAUUUCCACCUGGAGAUUUAAACUAGAAGAAAACAGGGAGCCACUAACGUCAGAGCGGCAGCUGCAGUAUCCUUUGGUGCUAAAGUUCUGGGGCGAUUCCUGAUCAGAGGGCAGGACCACCUUAAAAAGAGCCUCCAGUGUCCCUCCGAAAAAACACUAGGACGCAAGAUGGCCUCGUGCUGCCAGGUCGACCACCAGAACAAAUUUACAACCCCUCCACUCACCUUAAAGAUAUAACCCCAAAAUAAAUGUUUUGUAAAUUUGUUUUAUACCUCAUUUUUAGUUUGUUUUUUCUACUGUAUUUUUGUACGCGAGUUGUUUUUUUAUCGAUUGAAGCUACAGAACAAAUGAAAUCAGAUUUUAAAACGUAUGCGAGUGUAGGUUCUUCUGUCCGUUAAAGCCAAAGAAGAAUGACCUGAAACUGUUCGAGCCAAAGUUCUGUCGUGAAACUGAGCUUCUGAUUUCUUUUUUGGUCGGCUGGCCACAGCGGCUUUUAAACUCAAGUGUCUUUAUUUAGCUGUGGAAUAAAAACAGGUCAAAAGAAUGGUUAAAUGUUUUGGGAAUUUUUUUUCCUUUCUUGACGAGAAUUAGACGAGAAGAUUGAUCAAUCUUCUCAUCCAACUCUUGGCAAAAAAGCAAAUGAGCUUAUUUUUCAAAUUCCAUAAAAAUAUGCUAAGUGGAAAAUCAUUGCCAUUGUUGGGUGCGUGAAAUCGUUUUUUUUGUAAUCAGAUUACUGCAAUCUGAUUCUCUGUAAUAAUGUAUUUCCCUGAGCCCUGUGUGCCACGCUCAGAUCAGUCCAGCCAUAUCUCUCUGCACUACUAAUCUGUAUUUCACACAUGAUGAAAGGACAUUACAUGCUUUUUUUUGCCAAAUAUUUUUUACUACUACUACUUCUCAAAUCUUUAUCUUUUUAUAAGAUGUGAUAUUUAUAACAAUAAAAUGUGAUUUGGUACUUGA